CACGUUAUUCUGUAAGUUAAGAAGACACCGGCUCUGCAUAUCAAUUAGUAGGACUGGAACAGAUGAAGCCAGGGCCCUUGAUGGUGAGUGCAGAACUCAUCUUACUGGAGUUUAACCAAGUUUGCAGCACAGCCAUAACCCGAGGGUCACCAUAGAGUAAACGAGCAGAAGGCCUGUUAUUUUUCAUCGACCAUUGCUCUGAGUUUGUUUUUCGACCAUGACUAGAGCAGUUCCCUGACAAGACUGAGUGAACGUCUGUUGUUAUUUCGUCAUGACUAUGGGUCUGCUAACAUUCUGCAACAUAUCAACUCAGCAGCUGAGAUCAUGGACGAGACCC